CCCUUAGAUGUUCUGGGCCGCACGCGUGCUACACUGAGUGGAUCAGCGGGUCAGGUUGCGCGAAAGCGUUUCCUAAUCUUUAAAUCCGCUCGUGAUGGGGAUUGACGGUUGCAAUUUUCUGUCAUGAACGAGGAAUACCUUGUAAGCGCGGGUCAUCAUCCCGCGCUGAAUACGUCCCUGCCCUUUGUACACACCGCCCGUCGCUCCUACCGAUUGAGUGGUCCGGUGAGGCUUUGGGAUCUGGAUGGAAAGAGCGUUUCGCUGUUUCUGCCCGGAAAACUCAGUCGAACCUUAUCAUUUAGAGGAAGGAGAAGUCGUAACA
rnacentral:rRNA from 1 species